rnacentral:lncRNA from 1 species
GCGCCGGUCUCAUCGCUGCUGAGGGUCAGCAGAGAGCCGCGGCCUGUGGGGCGUUGUCUAAUCCCAGAGCGCUGACUGCGGGCACCGAGAAUCCUGGCGUUAGUCCAAGGGGCCUGGCGAAAUCUCGUUAACGAGUACUGCAGGCUGUUGGUGAAGUCACGACGUAGUGCCAGUGGCCUCGUCCCGCUCUGCUCAAGGGACCCUCACAGGCUGUGGAAUCCGGGCGUCGGGACCUCCGGGGACCUGGGCCUUCUGCUUCCACUCUCAUUCCUGAAUGUUAAAGGGGCAGGGCCGGACCGGAUGGAAUCACCAAAAAGUAUAAUCAUUAGGUCACUAGAUGUGCACGUUGGCAAUUUUCGAAAAUAUUGCCAGAGAGAUUGAAAUAAUUCACCACUGCCCCUCCUCCAGCUUCUCCUGGGCAUGCCACAUACACUGUGGGAAGGGGAAAGGCUGACCUAGAACACCUUCAAGUGGAUGCUACAGAACCCACCAGGGCAGAGCCUCAGCUCUCAGCCUCCCGGAAUGAACCAUGAACCCAAAGCAAAGAGCAGAACUCCUUUGACACCUCCAGCUUCACAGACAAAGAUGAAUCUCCUAAGGCAUUUCUGAAACAUGCAGUUCUGAAGUCUGGCCAGCCACACCAAAGAGCUUUUCGCAAGAAGGCACAGGCCAGGUAGAGGCAGCUGUGCAGUGGGAGGACUGUGAUGUUUUGGACUAGAAAAUAAGACGCAAAUGAGGCCAAAAAAACACAGGCACUGCAUAAAGGUGUCUUCUCCCCACUUUAUAAGCCUUAUGUGUGAUAAUAUUCAAUGCCACAGCAAGGCAAGCAAAUAGGUCCUUGGAGGGAGGGAUAGCUGGAUUUUAAUCCUGGCUCUACACUAAGGUCUUGGACUACUUACUGCAGGUCUCUGAGCUUCAUAGUUUUAUGUAUAAAAUAGGAUGAAGACCAUCCCCAAAUCCACUUCGAUGGUGAGAAUUAGGUGACAUGACAGCAGAAGGGCAUUUAGAGUUUGGCACAGAAGGGAUCUCAACAAAUGGUAGCUGUGUUUCAUCGUUCAUUUGAGAACUGAUGUUUGGAUCCUUUUCUGCAUCUUGAAAUGUCCCAAAAUAUUCCUCCUUAAGCCCUGCAGUUGGAUACUCAUUGAUACUUCUCUGUUCAAUUUAUACUGCGAGCAGGGGAGGGAGGCUUGAGCUUGGUUCCAUGAACGAGGUUGAAGGGUGUAAGUCUCCCAGCUUCAUUUCUGUCUCCUCCUCACCUGGGGAGCCAUGGCCAAUUCUCUUCCCAGGUCACUUGACUUCUCCAUGACCAUGACUUUCACCUUCUGCAUUUUGGAACAAUAUACUCAUGAAUGCUAAGAAGCUUUUGUUUCUUUCUGCCUGUGCUGAGCCUGUCUACUAUAAAAGAAAAAUCACAAUGGUUGUCA